rnacentral:rRNA from 1 species
UUUAGAGCAUUUAAACACAGGCCUUCCUUCUUAUAGAGUACUAUAUAAUAUAAUAGGUAUACUCGAACAACGGACAAAAGCUACGCUAGGGAUAACAGUCUAACACGCCCUUAGAGUUCCUAUCGAUGGGCGUACGAGGAACCUCGAUGUUGGAUCAUCGCGUCCUGUGGCUGAAGAAGGUCAUAAGGGUUGGAUUGUUCAUCCAUUAAAGCGGUACGUGAUCUGAGUUAAGAACGUCAAAAUGGCGUUUGCUUUUAAAGCAUCGGCUUAUUCGGCGAAAACUUCU